AAACAAAAAAAAACAGAGCUUCUGACACUCUGAAAAAGUGAGUCCACUGUGCGAGAUAGCAGCAAAAAGACGACAGGGGAAAAGCUUUUUUCCGCUUUCUUCCGAGGUUUUAACACCGCUCGGCCAUGCUGCCAGACGUCCGCGCCAAAAGUGUCGUCGUGCGUCCUUGUGCGACCCAAGUUCUCCUGCAGAUCGCUUCUUCUUCUGCGCACUCCUCGCACGCAAAAAAGUGGAAGAAUACAAGGAGGACGGGAUGCACAGUACACACGCCCAGGCUCAUCCAAAAUUGCUGUGUUGCGCUCUUUGAAGUGGAGGUGAGCGGAAUGGCUGUCAAGAGGUCAUCUAUCAGCACUAAUGAAACUGGCAGAGCUUGACACUGUCUCACUGGGAAGCACCACUGGCGCCACAAGCUUACUCAAGGAAAAAUGGAUUCAUUUCAUUAUGUGACAAGAUCUCCAUUAUGAUAUCACUGCAGAGGAAGUCGGACAUCCGGGCAUUUAAUGACGUCACCAGCCACAUCAAAGCGUCGCCAUAUUGACAAUGGGGCAAAAGACGAGUCACAAGCAGUUGCUCUGUCGUGCAUUGUAAUACAAACGCGUUUAACUUUAAUUUUAUUUGCGGUCUUUUUUCCGUCGGAAUGACUAAAAGUUGCUGUGUUGCGGGUUGUCACACAAGGAAGAGUUCGGAGCCGCAAUUGAAGUUCUUCAUUCUUCCACGUGAGAAGAAAAGGAGAAACAAAUGGCUGAGAGCAAUUAAUCGGGGAACAGUAAAAGAAGACGGUUCUGUGGACUAUUUUCGCCUGUGAGAACCUAAAUCCAAGCACAUUUACAUUUGCAGUCGCCGUUUUAUUACUGGUGAGUAAACUUACAUUUUUGCCCCAAUUAGCUGCUAGGAUUCAAUAGACUAGGCAGUGGUUAUUAUUACCGUAACCGGCAACUCGCAAAGCGUUAUUUUUCUUUUGCCGUGAACUGCUCUGAUUAGUCAAUCGGUGUAUUAUUGGCCUGGUGGGAAUUGGUUAUUUUGCCGUGACGUGCUCACGGCUAAAUAACGCUUGGAGGCGAAUUACCGGUUACGGCAGGAAUAAUCACUUCGUAUAUACUACCAAUUUUCUCAGUUCCACACAGUACAUAUUCCACGUAAAUGAUAAUGGUCAACUUACUGGGUGACUUUAUGAGGUAGUUGUAGAUGUUUCUGAACUCCACUGCUGGUCAUUCCUUUGUUUAUCCAGCUAUAAGCUGCGACUUUGUAACGGCAGCUUUGUAAGCCAAUAAACGCUAAUUUCAAAUUGCAUCGCCUCCUCGUGUCUGUCGGCAGUGACUCGUGAUAAUAGUAAGCCACGUUUAAGACGUUUUUAGGAAAAAAGACGUAACGCACACCUGAAAUAUAUUAAUUUCAGACGUUUGUCUAUGGAAUGUUUAGCUGUGCGUUCCCCCUUCACAAAAUGGCGACACGUCGCUAAGCGAGGUGAUGUCAUUGUGACAUCACGCCGACUUCCUCCAUGUUACCACCAGUGUCGGGAAUAACGCCGUUACAUAACGGCGUUAUUUUUUCAGUAACGGGGUAAUCUAACUAUUUUGUCCGCCGUUACAACGCUGUUACCGUUACUGACAGUCAAAAGCGGUGCGUUACUUUCUUUGAAUAAAUUGAAGAAACUACCAGCCAUAGCGAGUGUACUCUGCUCUGUUUAUUUGUCAUCCAAGACUUGGCGUGCGUUCAGGUUCAUGGCAAUGAAAAUAGUAAACACACAUAGCCUACCUUUGCAAGAACAAUGGAGUUGCCGUUUGAUACGGUCAUAAUGUGCAGGUCCUGCACCCAUUCGCAGCAAAACUGUUCGUAGCUUUAUAGCGAUUUGUAAUUUCGGAAUCACUGAUGAGUAUAGUAACAUACACCAAAGAAUAUAUACAGCAGAUUGUCCAUUUCGCGUAAUUGUGGAAGCCCGUCGACAUCUUUACUCCAUUUGUCUUCGGCUUGCUCAUAAGGGUCAACAUUGUUCACAUCCUUAAGUUUGAUUACAUAUCUGUUCUUCGCCUUAGUAACGAGUUUGUCUCUUUAUAUAACUGGCAAGUUAAAGUUUAAAGUCCCGCUAGCCAGACCUGCUUCCAAUAUGGCUUCGUUGUUGUCAAAUCUCACGUGAUCCCCCAUUCUGUGACGUAAACGCUCGAGCCUAAUAGCGCACGUACUUCAGAGCCGGUUGUUUAUAUGUGAAUUGUCUCGCCCUAUGUUUGUAUAUGUGUAUUUGUUGUUAAUAAAGUUUGUUUAAAAAAAAAAAAAACUUCAGAGCCGGUGCUUCCACACACAAACCGGAAAAGCGCGUGUGGCAAACACACACACGAUAAACAGAUGCAGAGGGAUAUAAUGGCAGAGCAUUCAGAGGAAAACUUGUCCUUUACGAGGGGGAGAUAUAAACACUAUUUCAAGUUGGUCGAAAUUAAAGGAAAGAACGUGCAUGUGAAGUGUAAUUCAUGUCCCGGGGCAAAGUUUUUGUCGACAUCUGUGGUAAGCAAUUCAAAUCUGUUUAUUUUUGUUGCACUUCAAGUGUAGGAUAAAUCUGUUGCUGGUGAGGUGCAAUAAAUAUUACAAGGUUCUAUAACACAACUACCUGUCUGUUCUUCUCUAUUCAACUGACUCGAAUACUGCU